AUACGGAGGGUGCAAGCGUUAUCCGGAAUCAUUGGGUUUAAAGUGUCCGUAGGCGGACUAUUAAGUCAGAGGUGAAAUCCCACAGCUCAACUGUGGAACUGCCUUUGAUACUGGUAGUCUUGAGUUAUAUGGAAGUAGAUAGAAUGUGUAGUGUAGCGGUGAAAUGCAUAGAUAUUACACAGAAUACCGAUUGCGAAGGCAGUCUACUACGUAUAUACUGACGCUAAGGGACGAAAGCGUGGGGAGCGAACAGGAUUAGAAACCCCAGUAGUCC
rnacentral:rRNA from 1 species